GUGGGGAAUCUUGCGCAAUGGGCGAAAGCCUGACGCAGCCAUGCCGCGUGAAUGAUGAAGGUCUUAGGAUUGUAAAAUUCUUUCACCGGGGACGAUAAUGACGGUACCCGGAGAAGAAGCUCCGGCUAACUUCGUGCCAGCAGCCGCGGUAAUACGAAGGGGGCUAGCGUUGCUCGGAAGUACUGGGCGUAAAGGGCGCGUAGGCGGACAGCUUAGUCAGAGGUGAAAGCCCAGGGCUCAACCUUGGAAUUGCCUUUGAUACUGGCUGUCUUGAGUUUGGGAGAGGUGAGUGGAACUCCGAGUGUAGAGGUGAAAUUCGUAGAUAUUCGGAAGAACACCAGUGGCGAAGGCGACUCACUGGCCCAAUACUGACGCUGAGGCGCGAAAGCGUGGGGAGCAAACAGGAUUAGAAACCCUGGUAGUCC
rnacentral:rRNA from 1 species